rnacentral:lncRNA from 1 species
AAGCCGAUGAUGACAAAAUCAAAUUGGAAUUACCGUCUGAAUAAUUUGAUGUAAAUUUCUUGGCUGUGGUACUGAGGCUUCAAAUUAUUAUUAUUAUUUUUUUUUCCUUCUGAUUCGUCGUAGUCAGAUUAGCAUUUAUAAUUUCAUUAUUUUUAUUGAAUUGAUGUAUUAAUUAGGAUUUUUUCAUUAUAUAGUAUUGGAUUGAUAAAACUCUAUCGUAUGUGAGCAUGUGUAUUGAUACAUGAAUCAUAUAUUUAUAAGGAGUGAUUCAAUAUAUUUAUUACGAAAGUUAAGAUAUACUGUGCUGCAUUAUUGAUGGAUGCAGCCGUGGUACAUUAAUCUUACAAGGAAGCUAUGUGCCGAUCAUUUUUUAUGCCUGGUUCUCCGGUCCUCUUCACCGCUUUGCGGUUUAUGUUAGACUCCGGACUAAGAUUUAGUUCUAGAGAACAUAAUCCAUAAAUUGGCUACAUGGCUUCCCGUUCCGGAGCGUAUCUAUCAGUGCAUAACAACCUUGUAAGGUUAAGGAACCACAGUUUUUUGCUCAUUUCCAUGCCACAUUGCCUCUUCUAGAGAGGAGGCAACUUUAUGUUUGUUAAGAUUCUUUUCUGGACACCGAUAGCUUAAAUGCAUAUGUUAUAGAUUGCUUGAAAUCUGUUUGAAAAUGAUUUAAUAUCUGAAAACAUAAUUAUAUGUCGUUGUUGGGUCUGAUGCCACGUCUCUGGUAGCUAUAUAUUAGCUCUGACCAUAGAUGCUAUGAUUGGACCAAAAUCAAGAGUGAAUUUCAUUUGUUUCGCAUUCUGAUAGGAAUCUGCCAAUCCUAUAUACUAUGAUUAUGCAGAGCUGAUUUGUGCGAUUACAUUU